CUCUGUAUUUGCAAAAACCACUGUCUUCAAAAAGUUCUUGCCACUAGAAGGGUCUCCAAGCAAAAGGAAGCACCAGUAUUGCACUCAGAUCCCUCACUAGGCCCAAGGUCGACCUGCCACAGCCGGGAAGGUUCAGAAUGCGGUGGCUGGCGUGGCUCAGCACUGACUGAAAACUGUGGAAGAUUGGAACCAUUCAUCAAGAAAGAAAUUGUGGCGUUUCCUGCUUGUCCUUGGCAUGGGAAUACACUUGACUGGAUGCCUGCCAGGAGGCUGGUUUGACCCGGCAAGUCCAAAGAGGGGGUCACUGGUGCCAGACCCUGGCCACAGCGAGUGAAGAUGCUGCAGAGAAAACAGUUGUGGAUUUCUGUCCAUUGUUUCAUUGUACUGGGUCUUCCAAGCCCUGUACCUCUACAGAGAACACCUGGGGCAUAGCACAGCUGCACAUAGCCAGGCUCCAGGAGGAGCAGUCUAGAGGAUGGACUCACUGGGCCUGGUUUCCAUGGACAUUGGAGGUGCUCCCCAGGUUUGCACUCUAUUCCCCCUACUUUCAUCCUUAGUAGGUCAGUAAUGCCUUUGCCUAGAGGAGACUGUGGCUUCCCAUUUUAGGAAAUGGCAGCAGUCCUUAUCACCAGAGGACAUUGAUAACUCAGAUCUCUCUGCUAUCCUUAAAAGUAGUGCAAAUAAUCUUGAAGAGCAGCAGGAAAAGUUGCUGUUAAAUGUGUACUUUCCAGCUGUGAAGUUGUGGCACCUCAUAGGGAUCACUGACCAUGGCAGCUUUGUCCUGCCUGGCAAGGUCAAACCUAUAGUCAUAGUUCUGGAAUAUGAGCGCUUGCCAUUCGAGGGUAGAGGAGCAGAGUAGCAAGGGGCAUGUAUUGAAAGGUGUUCUGGCAGAACAGAAAGAACAGAAAUAUGGAUUUUCACUAUUGCUAGACUGAUACCAGAUGAUCUCCCUGUCUCGCCUCUGUCUUGGUUUCUUUAUGUGUUGAAAUACUGUGAUUUAUUGAGCACUUAGAAGGACCCCAACUUAGUGGUAAGUAAGUGAUACAUAGCAACUCUUUAAAGUAUCUCCUUUCUCUAUGUGCAAAAACAGGCUGAAAGAAAAAAACCCAACAAACCAAAACCCAAAAACAAAAAAACUAAGGUAAGGUACCUCAGCUGGUUGGGGAUAAGACAGGAUCUAGGUGUGUGUGCUGAAAUUCUGGAUUCUCAACUACUUAGACCGUAAGUGUGCUCAGCUCCUAUGGUUUCCCAGAGUUUUGGUUUUUUUUUUUUUUUUUUUUUUUUUGGCUGAGAACUCCAGCUUGUCCUCACCUUACUUCUAUCCUUUUUCUUUCUGUGAAGGCCUUCAGCGCCUGAAACGAAGCCAGCCAUCCCUUUCCUGCAGGGAAAUGAAAAGUUCUUUGCAGCUUUGGUGGGGACCUGUACUUUGUGCUUUUCCAGUAUGUAGCGGUGCAUUACUGCAGUGUUCUGAGCUCGGAAACCUGCCAGAGUUCUCAUGGUUGGGAACUUGCCAGUGCAGUGAGUGUCCCCAGGACCUCUUAUGAAGCUGCUGCCAUUUUUGUUGUUGUUGUUGUGGGCCAUGGAGUAUGAUGAAAAAAAUGUUCUGAUUCCCCCUAAAAGGGAAGUUGGUGAAGAAUCUUUACAUAGAAUUUAAAUUCAAAAGUUGGGCCUCUUUCCAGACCCUGGCCCCAGCUGUGGUUCGUAGCUUCCCCUUCUUUUUCUUAACACAUGACCUCUCUUCUCUCCUCAACCAGCCCUACUCCAGUCUGCCUUUUUG